AGCGAACGCUGGCGGCAGGCCUAACACAUGCAAGUCGAACGGAUCCUUCGGGAUUAGUGGCGGACGGGUGAGUAACACGUGGGAACGUGCCCUUUGGUUCGGAACAACUCAGGGAAACUCGAGCUAAUACCGGAUGUGCCCUUCGGGGGAAAGAUUUAUCGCCAUUGGAGCGGCCCGCGUCUGAUUAGCUAGUUGGUGAGGUAACGGCCCACCAAGGCGACGAUCAGUAGCUGGUCUGAGAGGAUGAUCAGCCACACUGGGACUGAGACACGGCCCAGACUCCUACGGGAGGCAGCAGUGGGGAAUCUUGCGCAAUGGGCGAAAGCCUGACGCAGCCAUGCCGCGUGAAUGAUGAAGGUCUUAGGAUUGUAAAAUUCUUUCAGCGGGGACGAUAAUGACGGUACCCGCAGAAGAAGCUCCGACUAACUUCGUG
rnacentral:rRNA from 1 species